rnacentral:rRNA from 1 species
GUAGGUGGCAAGCGUUGUCCGGAAUUAUUGGGCGUAAAGCGCGCGCAGGCGGUUCUUUAAGUCUGAUGUGAAAGCCCACGGCUCAACCGUGGAGGGUCAUUGGAAACUGGAGAACUUGAGUACAGAAGAGGAAAGCGGAAUCCCACGUGUAGCGGUGAAAUGCGUAGAGAUGUGGAGGAACACCAGUGGCGAAGGCGGCUUUCUGGUCUGUAACUGACGCUGAGGCGCGAAAGCGUGGGGAGCAAACAGGGAUUAGAUACCCUGGUAGUCCACGCCGUAAACGAUGAGUGCUAAGUGUUAGGGGGUUUCCGCCCCCUUAGUGCUGCAGCUAACGCAUUAAGCACUCCGCCUGGGGAUACGGCCGCAAGGCUG